CCACCUGUUAGGCGGCAGCGAGGAAGAGGAAGGCACCGGAGAGCGGGAAGGCACUAAGCCACCUGUUGGGGGGGUGGCGGGGAGUCAAGCUGCAAAUGCCAGGAAAGGUCUGGAGGUCCCACCUGGGGACGGCCGAGUUUCGCCCCCGAGAGCCGCCCAGGCGCACACCUGCCCGCUGCCGUGCCAAGCCGAGCCAGGCUACCGGCCAGGCAUCACGGGUGUUGUGCUUCCCAGCAUACACUAGCAUUCCUUCAAACAAACGUUCACUGUAGCAGAAAGUCCAAGAACAGGCUUACUCCCUUGAGGAUCAAGAAGAAAGCAACAGCGGAGAAAGGACCGAUAGCAGCAUGGAGAAUACGGAAAGGAGAUAAAGAGGAAAAUGAGGAGGUGGCGGUGAGCAGGAGGCAGCUCAGAAAAUUGCACAAGCUGUGGGGAGUUUUUUCGUCUAGACACUCUCACACGGCAAAGGGAAUGACUGCCAUCUGCAUCUCCCAUGAAAAAAAGGAAGGGAGAAAAGGGAUAGGGCUGAGACGAAAAAAGAAAUCCACCUGCGUGUCUCUCAGUUUGGCUGUGGUAUGGCUGAACCACACUGAAUGCCUGCUGUGGGAGGGGAGAGAAAGCCAACCGAGGUAUUGUUGUGUCUAAGGAGCUGCAACAGUAGGGAGCGUGUGAAUCCUCAUGCGAGGCUCUGUCCUACUGACACAGUGGGAAGAGGAGAGAGGGAACUAUUUUAGUCCUGUUGAGGCUGCUACAGCAUAAAAAUGGAAGUAAUUAAAGGCCUAUUCUAGUCUCACUUAAAUCUCUGAGUCUUCAGGCCAGAGUUAUUUUCAUUACAUUGCUUUAAUGGCAUUGCACUGAUGUUUAGACUGUGUUGGAUUGUUUAAUUUUUUAAUUUCUUAACCUGAAUUUAAGAAAUGAGCCAGCACUUGCUGUGGCAAUGCACUCACUUGGCUGAAAUUCCUCCUGCAAAAGGUU